GAAAUUCUCCACUAAAUGAAAUCGAAAACCAUACUAUCGAAUCAGAUUCUUAUUUGAAUAUGUGUAAUCUUUUUGAAAGGAAUAGGCAAUCGUCAGUAACUGAUGCCACAUAUGAGGAAGUCCGACAAAAAGGUUCAACCAGGGACCAGGGAGACACAUCAUGAUUAUGCGGAAUUUACAACAGACAUAACAACCUAAGAUGAUAUCAAUUAAAAAAAUUCUAUCAAGCCAAACGAAUACCUUAUAGCACUUGAUCACAAC
rnacentral:lncRNA from 1 species